UCCUGUGCAAGCGAGCUUGGGCGGGUCGUGCUAGUUCAGAGGCGCGGGGUCGGUGCCGGGGGGCUCGCGUCUGGGGAGCUAGGCUCGAUUCCCCGCUCCUCCUCAGGACCCCUCAGCGCCACCGGCUUCCCGGGGCGCCUGUUGGGAGAGGAAGGGAAGGGGGUUUGGCGGCCGCCUCGGGACCCCUUCGAGGAAGAGAUAAAUCCAGUCUUCCUCUUCUCCUUCUUGUUCGGCUGCCAACUUCCAGACGGGCCCCCCGGAAUUACAGCUGACCUCCAGACUGCAGAGGUCGGUGCCUCUGGAGGAAAAGCACCCUUUGGCAGAUGGACGCCAGGGCCUGGUCCUCCACUGAGGUCCCUCUUCGGAUUUCCAGGAAUUCCCCAACCUGGGAUUGGCAACCCUGUCUCCUUCCCACCCAACGGCCAGCCUAGCUUUAUCAGCCCCUCUGCCUGAAGCUUUCCUUCUGAGUCUCACCACCCCCAAGCUCCACUCCCGAGAUCUCCAGGCAUUUCCCAGUCCAGACCUGGCCACUGCCUGGAGUUAAACUGUCUCCUAUCCCAUAAUGUCGCAGCAACGUGUCCUCCCUCAGAGUAAAGAAACCCUCCUUCAAUCGUUUAAUAAAAGGUUGAAAGAUGAUAUCAAAUCCAUCAUGGAUAACUUCACAGAGAUCAUCAAGACUGCAAAGGUGAAGAAAAACCCAGGUGU